rnacentral:rRNA from 1 species
AGCGAACGCUGGCGGCAGGCUUAACACAUGCAAGUCGAACGCCCCGCAAGGGGAGUGGCAGACGGGCGAGUAACACGUGGGAACGUACCCUCUGGUUCGGAAUAACUUGGGGAAACUCAAGCUAAUACCGGAUAAGCCCUUAUGGGGAAAGGGUUACUGCCGAAGGAUCGGCCCGCGUCUGAUUAGCUAGUUGGGGAGGUAAUGGCGCACCAAGGCGACGAUCAGUAGCUGGUCUGAGAGGAUGAUCAGCCACACUGGGACUGAGACACGGCCCAGACUCCUACGGGAGGCAGCAGUGGGGAAUAUUGGACAAUGGGGGCAACCCUGAUCCAGCCAUGCCGCGUGAGUGAUGAAGGCCUUAGGGUUGUAAAGCUCUUUUACCCGGGACGAUAAUGACUGUACCGGGAGAAUAAGCCCCGGCUAACUUCGUGCCAGCCGCCGCUGUAA